GUGUGCAUAGCUUAGUGGUUAGAGCAUCCCUCCGGAUUGAGGUGGUCAUGGGUUCAUAUCCUAUUGCACACA
rnacentral:tRNA from 1 species